rnacentral:rRNA from 1 species
UACGUAGGCAGCGAGCGUUGUCCGGAAUCACUGGGCGUAAAGGGCGCGUAGGUGGCUCGUGAAGCGUGCGGUGAAAGUCCGAGGCUCAACCUCGGAUCGGCCGUGCGGACUCGCGGGCUGGAGCGUUGUAGAGGCGGGUGGAAUUCCGGGUGUAGCGGUGGAAUGCGUAGAGAUCCGGAAGAACAUCGGUGGCGAAGGCGGCCCGC